GCUGGCGGCGUGGAUAAGACAUGCAAGUCGAACGGGAUUACUUUUGGUAGCAAUACCGAGGGUGAUUCAGUGGCGAACGGGUGCUUAACACGUGGGCAACCUGCCGAGAAGUGGGGGAUAGCUCGCCGAAAGGCGAAUUAAUACCGCAUGUGAUCAGCGGAGACAUCUUCGCGAAAUCAAAGCCGGGGCAACCUGGCGCUUUUUGUGGGGCCCGCGGCCUAUCAGCUUGUUGGUGAGGUAACGGCUCACCAAGGCUUUGACGGGUAGCUGGUCUGAGAGGACGACCAGCCACACUGGGACUGAGACACGGCCCAGACACCUACGGGUGGCAGCAGUCGAGAAUUUUUGACAAUGGGGGAAACCCUGAUCGAGCGACGCCGCGUGGAGGAUGAAGGUCUUCGGGUUGUAAACUCCUGUCAUUUGGGAACAAUGGUUAUGCGUUAACUGCGCGUGACUUGAUAGUACCAGAAGAGGAAGAGACGGCUAACUCUGUGCCAGCAGCCGCGGUAAUACAGAGGUCUCAAGCGUUGUUCGGAUUCAUUGGGCGUAAAGGGUGCGUA
rnacentral:rRNA from 1 species